GCCAGUAGUCAUAUGCUUGUCUCAAAGAUUAAGCCAUGCAUGUCCAAGUACAAGCUCGUCCCGAGCGAAACUGCGGAUGGCUCAUUAAAUCAGUUAUGGUUCAUUGGAUCGAGUACCCCCCGACAUGGAUAACUGUGGUAAUUCUAGAGCUAAUACAUGCGUCCAAGCGCCGACCUCCAGAAGGCGUGCUUUUAUUAGGAACAAGACCAGCCCGGCCUCGGCCGGCAACACUGGUGAACUCUGGAUAACACAGCCGAUCGCACGGUCUUUGCACCGGCGACGGAUCCUUCGAAUGUCUGCCCUAUCAACUUUCGAUGGUACGUUAUGCGCCUACCAUGGUCGUCACGGGUAACGGAGAAUCAGGGUUCGAUUCCGGAGAGGGAGCCUGAGAAACGGCUACCACCUCCAAGGAAGGCAGCAGGCGCGCAAA
rnacentral:rRNA from 1 species